AGAGGGAGGUGUGACACAGAAGCACAGGAGAAGAACCAUCAGAGACACAAGCAGUGACUAGGCUUACAUUGUCACAAGCAAAGGAACACCUGGGACCCGAAGAGCAGAAGUUUCUCCCCGGACCCUCUGAAUGGGCAGAAGGACUGCAGACCACUUACUUUUGAACGUCUUGCUUGCAGAACCGUUACCUCCCUCCCCCAGCUUCCACCUGCCUUUAGCAAGGGACACCUUCCAUGAUAAACCAGGCAGGCCUGGCAUUUUCCACAAUCCCCACCUGAGUCUUCUGAUAGACCUGAGGAGAGGCAAAGUUCCUCAUAGACGGAUGCCGGGAACACACAAUGCAUGGGGAUGCCAUGGAGGACGGCAGAGAGGACUGAGGCCUUCAGCUCCCCUGAAGCAACAUUUACUUGACAUUGUAAACCGAGGGAUGCACACUGGGGAUGGGACUCUGACCCUCUGUGAGAACAGCCCAGGAACUGUGUGUUGCAUUGCGGAAACCCUCUGAAGGGUCAGCACUGUCGAAACAAAACAAAGUCAAAAUGAAGACCCCAGGCACCCAGUUUAAUGCAAGCUGGAGUUCAGAUGUUGUCUCAGAUAUGAUUCUUAUUCAGCCAGUCAGUAUGUGUUUCCUGAAAUCUCACUGGUGUCACAGAGAGACAGCAGAGUGAUAUGCGUUGGCGGCCGGAUGACUUGAAAUGGCACUGCAAACACAAGAUGAUUUUACUUACGAAAUAUGGAGUUUUCAUAAAAUAGUUUGGGAUGAAGGAGACGGAGAAAAAGAACAAUGGGAAACCCCAGAAGACAAAACCUUUAAAAGUUCUUACGUGCUUGGUAUGCCUCUCCCUACUAAAUGUAAAAGAAAUCCCCCCAAAUAAAUAGUUUAAGAAAGUUUUGUAAACAGCAACUUAAUAAAAUUUACCCUAAUAAA
rnacentral:lncRNA from 1 species